AUUGAACGCUGGCGGCAUGCCUUACACAUGCAAGUCGAACGGCAGCGGGGACUUCGGUCCGCCGGCGAGUGGCGAACGGGUGAGUAAUGUAUCGGAACGUACCUUUCAGUGGGGGAUAACGUAGCGAAAGUUACGCUAAUACCGCAUAUUCUCUGAGGAGGAAAGCAGGGGACCUUCGGGCCUUGCGCUGAUGGAGCGGCCGAUAUCAGAUUAGCUAGUUGGUGGGGUAAAGGCUCACCAAGGCUACGAUCUGUAGCGGGUCUGAGAGGAUGAUCCGCCACACUGGGACUGAGACACGGCCCAGACUCCUACGGGAGGCAGCAGUGGGGAAUUUUGGACAAUGGACGCAAGUCUGAUCCAGCCAUUCCGCGUGCAGGACGAAGGCCUUCGGGUUGUAAACUGCUUUUGUACAGAACGAAAAGGUCUCUAUUAAUACUAGGGGCUCAUGACGGUACUGUAAGAAUAAGCACCGGCUAACUACGUGCCAGCCGCCGCUGUAA
rnacentral:rRNA from 1 species